GUUUCCAUUCCUCAUAGGUACGAUACAAAC
rfam:Geobacillus thermodenitrificans NG80-2, complete genome.